AUGCUCAAAGAGGGACUUGAACCCUCACGGUUUAAAUAACCAACGAAUUUUAAGUCCGCAGCGUCUGCCAAUUCCGCCAUUCGAGC
rnacentral:tRNA from 1 species